rnacentral:rRNA from 1 species
UACAGAGGGUGCGAGCGUUAAUCGGAAUUACUGGGCGUAAAGCGUGCGCAGACGGUCAUGUAAGUCGGGUGUGAAAGCCCCGGGCUCAACCUGGGAAUUGCAUUCGAGACUGUGUGGCUAGGGUGCGGAAGAGGGAAGCGGAAUUUCCGGUGUAGCGGUGAAAUGCGUAGAUAUCGGGAGGAACACCAGUGGCGAAGGCGACUACCUGGCCUGUUCUUGACGCUGAGGCGCGAAAGCUAGGGGAGCAAACGGG